rnacentral:rRNA from 1 species
GACGAACGCUGGCGGCGUGCCUAAUACAUGCAAGUAGGACGCAGUUGCGAACGGGUGAGUAACGCGUAGGUAACUACCUAUUAGAGGGGGAUAACUAUUGGAAACGAUAGCUAAUACCGCAUACUAGUAGAUGGACCUGCGUUGUAUUAGCUAGUAGGUAGGGUAAUGGGCUAUCUAGGCAACGAUACAUAGCCGACCUUGUGGGGUGAACGGCCAAACUGGGACUGGGACACGGCCCAGACUCCUACGGGAGGGAGCAGUAGGGAAUUUUCGGAAAUGGGGGGAACCCUGACCGAGCAACGCCGCGUUAGUGAAGAAGGUUGUCGGAUCGGAAAGCUCUGUUGUGAAGGAAGCGGUACUUACCCAGAAAGGAACGGCUAACUACGUGCCAGCAGCCGCGGUAAUUC